rnacentral:rRNA from 1 species
GGCUCUUUGUUUGUCAAAAGAUAGGGAGUCGAACCUGCCCGAUGGUUUACGAAUUCAAUGGCUGCAGUAUUACUGACUGUGCAAAGGUAGCAUAAUCGCUUGCCCAUUAAUUAUGGGCUAGUAUGAAUGGUUUGACGGGAGCUAAGCUGUCUCAAGGUGAAUUAUUUAGAAUUUACUUUUUAGGUGAAAAAUCCUGAUUGUUAUUGAGGGACGAUAAGUCCCUAUUAAGCUUGAGUUGAGCCGUAGAACAUAUAAGACUUUUAAGUAAUUAUAUUUCUUAGGGUUGAAUCUUUGGUUGGGGAAACCAAGAAGCAAAAGAAGCCUUCUUUAUAAAUAAUAUUAUUUACUUUAUGAGUGAGUGAUCCAAUUAAAUAAUGUCUAUUGAGCAGGAGAAAAAGCUACUAUAGGGAUAACAGCGUAAUCUUCUUGGAGAGCUCUAAUUGAGAAGAAGGAUUGCGACCUCGAUGUUGGACUAAGGUGUACCUGGUGGUGUAGCAGCUUCUUUGGGUUAGUCUGUUCGACUAUUAAAACCUU